rnacentral:rRNA from 1 species
UACGGGGGGAGCAAGCGUUGUUCGGAUUUACUGGGCGUAAAGAGCGCGCAGGCGGUCAGAUAAGUCGAAUGUGAAAGCCCCCGGCUCAACUGGGGAGGGUCAUUCGAUACUGUUCGACUCGAAGGCAGGAGAGGGAAGUGGAAUUCCUGGUGUAGCGGUGAAAUGCGCAGAUAUCAGGAGGAACACCGGUGGCGAAGGCGGGUCUCUGGACCGAUACUGACGCUGAGGAGCGAAAGCGUGGGGAGCGAACAGG